UACGUAGGGUGCGAGCGUUGUCCGGAAUUAUUGGGCGUAAAGCGCACGUAGGCGGAUUCGUAAGUCAGGGGUGAAAUCCCGGGGCUCAACCUCGGAACUGCCUUUGAUACUGCGGGUCUUGAGUCCGAUAGAGGUGGGUGGAAUUCCUAGUGUAGAGGUGAAAUUCGUAGAUAUGUGGAGGAACACCAAUGGCGAAGGCAGCCUUCUGGGCCAACACUGACGCUCAUGCACGAAAGCGUGGGGAGCAAACAGG
rnacentral:rRNA from 1 species